GCCCCUGGGCACCAUGUCCCUCCUGCUAGCACUAACGAGACUUUCUCCUCGUGUGCCCCCAGGGCACCACGCCCCUCCUGCUAGCGCCAACGAAACCUUCUCCUCGUGCGCCCCCGGGCACCACGUCUCUCCUGCUAGCGCUAACGAAACCUUCUCCCCUGUGCGCCCCAGGGCAUCACGCCCCUCCUGCUAGCUCUAUCGAGAUCUUCUACCCUGUGUGCCCCCAGGGGCACCACGCCCCCUCCUGCUAGCACCAACCAGAUCUUCUCCUCGUGUGCCCCCAGGGCACCACGCCCCUCCUGCUAGCGCCAACCAGACCUUCUCCUCAUGUGCCCCCAGGGCACCACGUCCCUCCUGCUAGCACUAACAAAACCUUCUCCCCGUGCGCCCCCAGGGAACCACACCUCUCCUGCUAGCACUAACAAAACCUUCUCCCCUUACGCCCCCGGGCACCACGCCCCUCCUGCUAGCACUAAUGAGACCUUCUCCCCUGUGCGCCCCCAGGGCACCACACCCCUCCUGCUAAUGCUAACGAGAUCUUUUUUCCUGUGCCACCCCCUGGGCACCACGUCCCUCCUGCUAAUGCCAAACAGACCUUCUCCCCUGUGUGCCCCUGGGCACCACGCCCCUCCUGCUAGCACCAACCAGACCUUCUCCCCAUGUGCCCCUAGGGCACCACGCCCCUCCUGCUAGCACUAACGAGACCUUCUCCUCUGUGUGCCCCUGAGGCACCGCGCCCCUCCUGCUAGCGCUAACGAGACCUUCUCCCCUGUGUGUCCCCAGGGCACCACGCCCCUCCUGCUAGCUCUGACAAAACCUUCUCCCCUGUGCGCCCCCGGGGCACCAUGCCCCUCCUGCUAGUGCUAAUGAGACCUUCUACCCUGUGUGCCCUCAGGGCACCAUAUUCCCCUGCUAGUGCCAACCAGAUCUUCUCCUCCGUACCCCUCACAAGGCCACCACAUUCCUCCCACUCGCUACAAUGAGGCCUUCCCUUACUUAUGCCACCGGGUGCCUGCCUGUAUCUCUUCCGCUAAUGAGGUCUUCUACUCACUACAGAUGCCAAUUUCCCUCCUGCUAGUGACAGAUGAGCCUUUUCCAACCCUAUGUCCCUUCAGCUCAGGCCAGGUCUUCACUAGGAAAUUAGGUUGGUAUAACUAUGUCACUCUGGGGUGUAAAAAAUCUGCCCUCACCCAGCAACCCAGUGAUGCCAACCUAACCCCCAGCGCAGAGCAGCACUGUCAGUUGAAGGGCGUCUCCCAUCGACAGAGCUACUGCCCCUCGGGGGGUGGCAUACAUGACAGCUGUACCAGUGCAACUUUAAAAUGUAGACCUGCCCUAAGACUAACGACACCGUCUCCCUUCUGGGCACAUCAGUCACCAGCAUUACCGCAGCCCCUUCUCCUCAGGGCACUUCACUUGUCAGCGUUAAUAUCAAACUGCGUGCGCCUUCCCUGGAGAACUGGCCUGCAUGUGUUUAACCACCACCCCUCAGGCUACUCCAGCAGCCCCAGGCCCCAUCCGUCCCAGUCCAGUCCUCAGACGCCUGCCUUCUUGGAGGAGUCACAGCCAAAGGCCUCCCUGCUCUGUAACCUGCCUCUGCAAUAAACCUCCCCCUGUUUUGUA